rnacentral:rRNA from 1 species
CCCUUAGAUGCUCUGGGCCGCACGCGCGCUACACUGAUGCAUUCAACGAGUUUCUUCCUGGUCCGAGAGGAAUGGGUAACCUUUUGAAAGUGCAUCGUGAUAGGGAUAGACUAUUGCAAUUAUUGGUCUUCAACGAGGAAUUCCUAGUAGACGUAGUUCAUCAGACUGCAUCGAUUACGUCCCUGCCCUUUGUACACACCGCCCGUCGCUCCUACCGAUUGAAUGCUCAGGUGAGCCAUUCGGACUUUCAUCAUGCUGGUUUCCAGUUUUGAUGAAGGAAAGUCUUGCGAACCUUAUCAUUUAGAGGAAGGAGAAGUCGUAACA